rnacentral:misc_RNA from 1 species
GUGAAUCAUCAAAUUUUUGAACGCAAAUUGCACUCUCUUCGGAGAGUAUGCCUGUUUGAGGGUCAGUAUUAAUAAAAAUCUGUGUGUUGCUUCUUUGUGCCGCUCCGGGGUUUGGGUCAUCUUAAUAUCCUUUAGGUUUUAAGAGGCUUAAAAUUGACUUUUUUUGCGCACUUUAGAUGUACAUAAAUUUUUUUUUUAUUCGUCUAUCCUUAAUGCCAAAAUCUUAUUAGAUCCUACCAUAUGGUGUGGUUUCGGUGCUA